ACCUCUGAUAGCUCAGUCGGCAGAGCAGGAGACUCUAAAUCUCAGGGCCAAGGGUUCGAGCCUCAUGUUGGGCA